UAGGGAAUCUUCCACAAUGGACGCAAGUCUGAUGGAGCAACGCCGCGUGAGUGAAGAAGGUUUUCGGAUCGUAAAGCUCUGUUGUUGGUGAAGAAGGAUAGAGGUAGUAACUGGCCUUUAUUUGACGGUAAUCAACCAGAAAGUCACGGCUAACUACGUGCCAGCAGCCGCGGUAAUACGUAGGUGGCAAGCGUUGUCCGGAUUUAUUGGGCGUAAAGCGAGCGCAGGCGGAAGAAUAAGUCUGAUGUGAAAGCCCUCGGCUUAACCGAGGAACUGCAACGGAAACUGUUUUUCUUGAGUGCAGAAGAGGAGAGUGGAAUUCCAUGUGUAGCGGUGGAAUGCGUAGAUAUAUGGAAGAACACCAGUGGCGAAGGCGACUCUCUGGUCUGCAACUGACGCUGAGGCUCGAAAGCAUGGGUAGCGAACAGG
rnacentral:rRNA from 1 species